rnacentral:rRNA from 1 species
AUGCUGCACGAGCUCCUCCUCGCCCUUCUCGGCUUCACCGGUGACUUCGUGCUCGACAACUCCUCCGCCCGCCGCCGCCCCGAGCCGGCCGAAGCCGGUGGCGCCGGAGACGGCGACGUGGGCCCCGCCUUCCGCCUGGCGCCCGACCUCACCUUCCUCCAGCCGUCCGAGAGGAGUGCUAUUGAAAGGCUCAUAUCUCUGGGAUUUUAUUACAGAGAACUGAAUCGUUUUGCGACGGAGUCUCGUGAUCUGAGUUGGAUUCAGUCUUCUGUUGAGGUUUCAUCACCUAAUGCUGAUAUUACUCUGAACGGCAAAGUGAGAAAAGGGAGUGCAUACCGGAGGGCAAUUGCCAAUGGUAUUGCUGAGAUUUUAUCAGUUUAUAGGUCAGCUGUUCUGCAGGUUGAGCAAAACCUGUUGUCAGAUCCAUUGCGUAUCCUGGCGACAGUAACCCAUGGGCUAAAUAAGUUUGAGGUUCUUCUGCCUCCACUUUAUGAGCUUGUUAUGGAAAUCGAGCAGAAAGACAUCAAGGGAGGACAGCUUCUUAACCUGUUACAUAAAAGAUGCCAUUGUGGGGUUCCAGAAUUGCAAAGCUGCAUUCAGAGGCUGCUUUGGCAUGGACACCAGGUCAUGUUUAACCAGCUGACUUCUUGGAUGGUUUAUGGUAUUCUUCAAGAUCAGUACCAUGAAUUUUUCAUCAGAAGACAGGUUGACAGGGAUGAGGAGAAUGAAUCGGCUCAGUCUGAUGUUGCUGAUAAAUUUGCGCAGAAAUUAGCUAAAGACACAUCCCUUACUAGUUGGCACUCAGGAUUUCAUGUAUCAUUGGACAUGUUGCCGGAGUAUAUCCACAUGCGAGUUGCAGAAUCGAUUCUAUUCGCUGGCAAAGCAAUAAGGGUUCUUAGAAAUCCUAGUCCUGGUGCUACAUUGCUGGAACGAACUAACCAAAGUCAGACAUUGAAAGGAUCUCAUAGAAUGCAAAGUUUCACGGGGGGCCCCGGUGCUCUGAAAGAGCUGCCAAACUUCUCUAACAUUAGUGCAGAAGAAUUAUUGCCACAGGCUGAAGCAGAUAAAGUUGAUGCCAUGCUUAAGCAGCUAAAGCAUGCUUCCGAGUUUCAUAAAAGGUUGUUUGAGUCUGCUGUUAGCUCAAUACGUACAAUUGCAGCUAAUCAUCUUUGGCAGUUAGUGGUUGUACGCGCUGAUCUCAAUGGCCACUUGAAGGCACUUAAAGAUUAUUUUCUUUUGGCGAAAGGUGAUUUUUUCCAGUGUUUUCUUGAGGAAAGCCGUCAAUUGAUGCGCCUACCACCUCGUCAAUCUACAGCUGAAGCAGAUCUCAUUGUCCCAUUUCAGUUGGCUGCACUGAAAACUAUAGGCGAUGAAGACAAAUACUUCACCAGGGUAUCUCUAAGGAUGCCACUGUUUGGUAUGAAAUCUAGUACAUCACAGAAAGAUCUUCAGAAGUCCAACACAUCAGAUCUUUCCUUGCAAGGAAAGGCUAGCUCAGAGUUGGCACUUGAUGGUUGGCAUAGUAUUGCUCUGGAAUAUUCCGUCGAUUGGCCACUACAACUCUUCUUUACUCCUGACAUUCUUUCUAAGUAUUGCAAAGUUUUUCAGUAUCUCAUUCGGUUGAAGAGGACACAAAUGGAAUUGGAGAAAUCCUGGACAGCUGUAAUGCAUCAAGAUCAUGUUGAUUUUUCUGAUUAUUGCAAGGAUCGGAAGAAUUCCUCUGCAACACAACUGCGUCGGUUACGCACGAAGCCUUUUUGGCGAGUAAGGGAGCAUAUGGCUUUCUUGAUCAGAAACCUACAGUUCUACAUCCAGGUUGAUGUAAUUGAGUCACAGUGGAAUGUCUUACAAACUCACGUUCAAGACUCGCAUGAUUUUACAGAACUAGUGACCUUUCAUCAAGACUAUUUGUCGGCAUUGAUAUCACAGUCCUUCUUGGAUAUAGGAUCAGUUUCUAGAAUACUGGACAGUAUAAUGAAGCUCUGCUUGCAGUUCUGCUGGAGUAUCGAGCAAUACGAAACAGGCGCAAACAUGUUUGAGAUUGAUCACAUAACUGAGGAGUUCAACAAGAAAUCAAAUUCGUUGUACACUAUCCUAAGGAGUAGUCGACUUGCGGGAAGUCAGAGAGCACCUUUCCUGAGGCAGUUUCUGAUGAGACUGAACUUUAACUCUUUCUUUGAGACAACUGCGAGGGGCGUGAUGAAUUCGGGCAGGCUGCGGCCAGGCACAGCGAGUACCCAGCUGUAA